CCCCUAGAUGUUCUGGGCCGCACGCGCGCUACACUGAACAGUUCAACAAGUCUUAACCUUGGCCGAUAGGUCUGGGUAAUCUUUGAACGCUGUUCGUGAUUGGGAUAGACCUUUGCAAUUAUGGGUCUUCAACGAGGAAUUCCUAGUAAACGCAAGUCAUCAGCUUGCAUUGAUUACGUCCCUGCCCUUUGUACACACCGCCCGUCGCACCUACCGAUUGAAUGGUCCGGUGAAAUCUCGGGACGGCGGCUUGGUCGCUUGCGUCCGACUGCUGAAACUUGAUUAAACCAUNUNAUUUAUNGAAAGGUGAANUCGUANCA
rnacentral:rRNA from 1 species